UGGGGAAUUUUGGACAAUGGGCGAAAGCCUGAUCCAGCAAUGCCGCGUGUGUGAAGAAGGCCUUCGGGUUGUAAAGCACUUUUGUCCGGAAAGAAAUGGCUCUGGUUAAUACCUGGGGUCGAUGACGGUACCGGAAGAAUAAGGACCGGCUAACUACGUGCCAGCAGCCGCGGUAAUACGUAGGGUCCAAGCGUUAAUCGGAAUUACUGGGCGUAAAGCGUGCGCAGGCGGUUGUGCAAGACCGAUGUGAAAUCCCCGGGCUUAACUUGGGAAUUGCAUUGGUGACUGCACGGCUAGAGUGUGUCAGAGGGGGGUAGAAUUCCACGUGUAGCAGUGAAAUGCGUAGAGAUGUGGAGGAAUACCGAUGGCGAAGGCAGCCCCCUGGGAUAACACUGACGCUCAUGCACGAAAGCGUGGGGAGCAAACAGG
rnacentral:rRNA from 2 species